rnacentral:miRNA from 1 species
CAAACCCGGGCUCAGACACCA